CCGUGUCCCCCCCCCCCCCCCCCCCAGACUACGACGCCUCCAGCCACCGUCAAUUUGCUUUAGGCGGGCUCAGAAUUUAUGAUCCUCCUGCUUCAACCUCUGGGGUGGCUGGCACGACAGAUUUCUGUUUCCAAUGGUGUAAGUUGGUGCUUCACGUUCGAAGGAACAUUUGUCACUACACUAGUCAGGUGUUUUCAUCGAAUGGAGCGAACUAGCGGAAGAACGAGUCAGCUUCCUUCCAGAGUGCAUGGACUCCUGCGCACACAGACCUCGGAACCUGUGCACACAGCGAGCCGUUGCAUGAGAGGGAUGGAGGACGCAGCCCGAGGGCCUGAGCUGCACACUGCACAGCUACCGUCCUUGGGCCUCACACCCGUCCGUCAGCGCGGAGUGCAGCAGGAGCUGUAACGUGAGCUGUUCUUAGACUAAUUCAGCACAAUCCCAGAUCCUGUGAGAAGAAGCUUCUUCCAACUUCCUCUUGCUGAGAGUGCUACAGUUUCUCGAGGGUGUUUUCUCUCUUGUUGGCAAGGAGCCCUAUGUAUUACUUCUUAGUCAGAAGAGGAGAAACGUAAGGAUUCCUGUACAAGCUGGAUCACUUUAAGUCUGAUGCACAAGGAGAUUGUCAUAAUAGAACCAGAAUACAAAAGAGGCAAAUUCUUGGCUUGCACGUUUCAGAACUGCAGCUCAAGUGUGAGACCUUCUGAGCGGUUCCUCCCUCUCCCGGAGACGACCUGGAGCCGUGUAGUGUGAGUCCCUGACCGCCACGUGUAGGUUCCUGAAAGGCCUCCACUGCCAUUCGCCUAUGAUGACGGAUGGCAGCUAUGAGAACAGUCAGGAAACAGGAACUGUGGAGCUGUUUGGGGUUCCUAAUGAUUCCAGAAAGAGGCAGUAUGGAGAGCUGGUCCCAGCA